CCCGCGCCGCCUCCCGGCGCUUCCGGCGGCCCCCGCGCGGCCGGGCGACACGUCACCGCGCGGUGACGUCACCGGGAGGGGCGGGAGCAAACUGGUCUCGAAGCCUAAGGGUUCAGCUAUUUAUGUUACCUUCUGUCACGAAUCCAGGUUGUGGUACUUCCAAGGUUGUGUGCAAUGUGCUAAGCUUCCUUUUGAACACUGGAGUUGAACAAGUUUUCAUGAUCUUCCUUGGAUCUGGACUUUUUUUUUAUUUCUUUAUCUGCCUUCAUUAUGAAAUUGUGACAGUUUUGGUUAGGGUGGGACAAAAAAGUUCUGCAUUCAGUGAAGUUUGUCAGUUUUCUGAUAUGACUUGUAUGGGACAGGUCAUAUUUUUUAUCUUCUACUUAAUGAGUUUGAGCAGUUCUUUCUAAACUGUUCAUGGUAGUUAAUAGGAAAUGUGGAGAAGGGCUCAACUAAAAGUCUAAAUCAGAGAAAGUCAACUCUUAACCCCUUUAGAAUCAAUAGAGAGUAGUGGGAACUUCAGGUUGUUAAUUUCUUACUAAAAUAAGUGUCUAAGAUCUGAAGCUUUUCAAACAUGGAGAGGAGAGGCAAAUCAACUUUCAGGAAAAAGAGAGAGAGUAUCUUCUGUCUCUUGUCCAUUAGGAAAUGACCAAUUAACAGUGCCCCUGAUGCCUUCUUUAUUCAUGUUCUUGGGACACAGGAAUAAAAAUACCUUUUAGGCCUUACUGAUAUAACUAGAAAACACCCAUACAGGUAACUGCUCACAGCAUGAAGGAGCUGGAAUGCACAUCCAGUAGCAAUGGGUAAACUUUUUCUAAUGUUUUAGCAUCUGCCUUCAUGUUUACACAGAAGCAAUUUCAGAGAAUAUCUUCAGAACUAAAAUGACUAAAGAGAGUCUCAGAAGAGUAUUUGGUUCCUAAGAUGUGUUCCUAGGGGGAUUGUCUGUGCUAACACCAGCAGUGUUCCUCUUCCCCUGGAAUUAGUGUCUGUGAUCAUUCAAUACUGAAAGAUUCCAUGUCACUCCAGAACAAGCCUCUCUAUCUUGGUAUCUCUGUAAUCUGUAAAAAGAGACAAGCUCAAGAAACACGAUGCAAAAAAUUAGGUUCAUAGAAUCAUAGAACGGGUUGGGUUAGCAGGGACCUUACAAGUCACCUUGUAUGUUGCUAAUGGCUUCUGAACUAUAAAGGCUUGAGGUAGACGUGACACGUAUAAAGAGUUACUGGAGAGAGAUUGCAGUAAACCACAAACUAUGGCAGUGGGUGUUGUUCCUUAAGGUAGGGUGGUUGCCUUGUCCUGAGAGUUUUAAGCUGAAAAGAAUGAGUGGUGUACUUCUUAAAUGCUAUCAACUUCCCUUUUUUACAUCUAACUGAUCUCACAGCCUGAAAACCUCACAUUGAAAUAAAUGGGCUAGUGAAAAUUUAAAAUAUAUUACAUUAUGGAAGAAAUGAAAAGCUUAAAUGCC